AACGAACGCUGGCGGCAGGCUUAACACAUGCAAGUCGAACGAUGAAAGCUGGAGCUUGCUCCGGCUGGAUUAGUGGCGAACGGGUGAGUAACACGUGAGCAAUCUGCCCUUCACUCUGGGAUAACCUCGAGAAAUCGAUGCUAAUACCGGAUACGACGCGCUGGGGCAUCCCAUGCGCGUGGAAAGAAUUUUGGUGAAGGAUGAGCUCGCGGCCUAUGAGCUAGUUGGUGAGGUAAUGGCUCACCAAGGCGACGACGGGUAGCCGGCCUGAGAGGGUGACCGGCCACACUGGGACUGAGACACGGCCCAGACUCCUACGGGAGGCAGCAGUGGGGAAUAUUGCACAAUGGGCGAAAGCCUGAUGCAGCAACGCCGCGUGGGGGAUGAAGGCCUUCGGGUUGUAAACCUCUUUUAGCAGGGAAGAAGCGAAAGUGACGGUACCUGCAGAAAAAGCACCGGCUAACUACGUGCCAGCCGCCGCGGUAA
rnacentral:rRNA from 1 species